GCUCCAGUGGGCAACAGCGCAUGGUGUGCCAAAGUGAUCUUUUUGUUGAGGAAAAAAAAAAGUUGUAUGGUUGGUUUUUUUAGAACCCCAUUCAAAUGUGGACAUUGUUCAACUGCGUGCUUCUGCAGGCUUGGAUUGAAUGGACUGGAUUCCUGGUUUCAACGCAGGACCUGGGAUGACUGGAUCCACUACUGCUUUGCAAUGGAUUAAGAUAAGAUUUGCAUUUAUCGAAACACAUGGCCAUUGAAAUUGACAAAUCUACGUAGUAACAAACUGACUUGACUUAACUGACUUAAAUUACGAACUGAAUUACAAAAAGGAACUGAACAAUCAUCUCGAGAAGAGAACAUACCACAUGUUUUAUAAAGUGGAAACUUUGUGUUGUUAGAGAGAGAGUACAAGAACUUCAUUUUUUAUUUUAUUUUACAUUAAAUGGUUUACCUUUUGGUAUCA